UACGUAGGGUGCAAGCGUUAAUCGGAAUUACUGGGCGUAAAGUGUGCGCAGGCGGCCGCGCAAGUCGAGUGUGAAAGCCCCGAGCUUAACUUGGGAAUUGCGCUCGAAACUACGUGGCUGGAGUGUGGCAGAGGAAGGUGGAAUUCCACGUGUAGCGGUGAAAUGCGUAGAGAUGUGGAGGAACACCAAUGGCGAAGGCAGCCUUCUGGGCCAACACUGACGCUCAUGCACGAAAGCGUGGGGAGCAAACAGG
rnacentral:rRNA from 1 species